UACAUGGGGUGCAAACGUUGCUCGGAAUUACUGGGCGUAAAGAGCUCGUAGGCGGCUUGUCACGUCGGGGGUGAAAGCCCGGGGCUUAACCCCGGGUCUGCAUUCGAUACGGGCAGGCUAGAGUGUGGUAGGGGAGAUCGGAAUUCCUGGUGUAGCGGUGAAAUGCGCAGAUAUCAGGAGGAACACCGGUGGCGAAGGCGGAUCUCUGGGCCAUUACUGACGCUGAGGAGCGAAAGCGUGGGGAGCGAACAGG
rnacentral:rRNA from 1 species